GAUGAACGCUGGCGGCGUGCUUAACACAUGCAAGUCGAACGAUGAAGCCCAGCUUGCUGGGUGGAUUAGUGGCGAACGGGUGAGUAACACGUGAGUAACCUGCCCUUAACUCUGGGAUAAGCCUGGGAAACUGGGUCUAAUACCGGAUAGGAGCGUCCACCGCAUGGUGGGUGUUGGAAAGGUUUAUCGGUUUUGGAUGGACUCGCGGCCUAUCAGCUUGUUGGUGAGGUAUUGGCGCACCAAGGCGACGACGGGUAGCCGGCCUGAGAGGGUGACCGGCCACACUGGGACUGAGACACGGCCCAGACUCCUACGGGAGGCAGCAGUGGGGAAUAUUGCACAAUGGGCGCAAGCCUGAUGCAGCGACGCCGCGUGAGGGAUGACGGCCUUCGGGUUGUAAACCUCUUUCAGUAGGGAAGAAGCGAAAGUGACGGUACCUGCAGAAGAAGCACCGGCUAACUACGUG
rnacentral:rRNA from 1 species